rnacentral:rRNA from 1 species
GAUCCUGGCUCAGGACGAACGCUGGCGGCGUGCUUAACACAUGCAAGUCGAACGCUGAAGCCUAGCUUGCUGGGUGGAUGAGUGGCGAACGGGUGAGUAACACGUGAGUAACCUGCCCUCUUCUUUGGGAUAACGCCCGGAAACGGGUGCUAAUACUGGAUAUUCACUGGCUUUCGCAUGGGGGUUGGUGGAAAGGUUUUUUCUGGUGGGGGAUGGGCUCGCGGCCUAUCAGCUUGUUGGUGGGGUGAUGG